GACGAACGCUGGCGGCGUGCUUAACACAUGCAAGUCGAACGGUGAAGCGCCUUCCUUUUUGGUGGGUGUGGAUGAGUGGCGAACGGGUGAGUAACACGUGAGUAACCUGCCCCCUUCUUCUGGAUAACCGCAUGAAAGUGUGGCUAAUACGGGAUAUUCUGGGUCUGUCGCAUGAUGGGUCUGGGAAAGAUAUUGUUUCGGUGGGGGAUGGGCUCGCGGCGUAUCAGCUUGUUGGUGGGGUGAUGGCCUACCAAGGCGGUGACGGGUAGCCGGCCUGAGAGGGUGGACGGUCACACUGGGACUGAGACACGGCCCAGACUCCUACGGGAGGCAGCAGUGGGGAAUAUUGCACAAUGGGCGCAAGCCUGAUGCAGCGACGCCGCGGGAGGGAUGGAGGCCUUCGGGUUGUGAACCUCUUUCGCCAGUGAAGCAGGCCUGCCUCGUUUGUGGGUGGGUUGACGGUAGCUGGAGAAGAAGCGCCGGCUAACUACGUG
rnacentral:rRNA from 1 species